UACGGAGGGGCUAGCGUUGUUCGGAAUUACUGGGCGUAAAGCGCACGUAGGCGGACUGUUAAGUCGGGGGUGAAAUCCUGGGGACUCAACCUCAGAAUUGCCUCCGAUACUGGCAGUCUCGAGUGCGGUAGGGGAGAUGGAAUUCCUGGUGUAGCGGUGAAAUGCGCAGAUAUCAGGAGGAACACCGAUGGCGAAGGCAGUUCUCUGGGCCGUAACUGACGCUGAGGAGCGAAAGCGUGGGGAGCGAACAGG
rnacentral:rRNA from 1 species